ACCCAAUAGAUACCCAGGUAGUCCAGGGUGUAAACGCUGCGGGCUUGGUGUUGGGGGGUCCUUAGUGGGCGCCCAGUGCCGGAGAGAAAGUUGUUAAGCCUGCUGCUUGGGGAGUAUGUCCGCAAGGAUGAAACUUAAAGGAAUUGGCGGGGGAGCACCGCAACGGGAGGAGCGUGCGGUUCAAUUGGAUUCAACGCCGAAAAACUCACCAGGAGCGACGGAUAUAUGAAGGUCAAGCUGAUGACUUUACCUGAUUUUCCGAGAGGUGGUGCAUGGCCGUCGUCAGUUCGUACCGUAAAGGCGUUCUCUUAAGUGAGAUAACGAACGAGACCCUCACCAUUAAUUGCUAGUCUCUUCUCCGGAGGAGGCGCACAUUAAUGGGACCGCUGGCGCUAAGUCAGAGGAAGGAGAGGUCAACGGUAGGUCCGUAUGCCCCGGAAUCCCCUGGGCAACACGCGCGCUACAAAGGGUGGGACAAUGGGCUUCGACACCGAAAGGUGAAGACAAUCCUGAAACCCAUCCAUAGUUCGGAUCGGGGGCUGUAACCGCCCCGUGAAGCUGGA
rnacentral:rRNA from 1 species